CCUACGGGGGGCAGCAGUGGGGAAUAUUGGGCAAUGGGCGCAAGCCUGACCCAGCAACGCCGCGUGAAGGAAGAAGGCUUUCGGGUUGUAAACUUCUUUUAAGGGGGAAGAGCAGAAGACGGUACCCCUUGAAUAAGCCACGGCUAACUACGUGCCAGCAGCCGCGGUAAUACGUAGGUGGCAAGCGGUGUCCGGAUUUACUGGGUGUAAAGGGCGUGCAGCCGGAGAGACAAGUCAGAUGUGAAAUCCACGGGCUCAACCCGUGAACUGCAUUUGAAACUGUUUCCCUUGAGUGUCGGAGAGGUAAUCGGAAUUCCUUGUGUAGCGGUGAAAUGCGUAGAUAUAAGGAAGAACACCAGUGGCGAAGGCGGAUUACUGGACGAUAACUGACGUUGAGGCGCGAAAGCGUGGGGAGCAAACAGGAUUAGAUACCCCUGUAGUC
rnacentral:rRNA from 1 species